GACUGCAGACAGUAGCUCGUGCGUUUCCACGAUGAAGCCUGCAGUUUUGGUGUGUGCGUGCGUGCGUGAGUGAGUGUGUAUGCGCGCUCGCGCAGAUGGAGCGGGUUCUUUCAGUCUGUCUAGUUCGCAGGAUAGCGGCACUCAUGGGUACUCACAGAAGCACCGUAGCGAUUUCUACCACCGUUUAGCACCACAGAAGGUGCGACAUUUAUUCCGGGCACGUACCUGCCAGCGGACAGUCCUGAAGCCCCCAGGAAUCUCGCGCUCUAGUAGAGAGAGCGGAGCGCGCGCGCGGCACGGACCGCAGUGGAAUGUAGCGGGGAUUCCCGGCGCGCGGGGCAAGAGCUGUCAGUCAUUCAUCAACACCACAAGAAAACACCUGAGUAGGUGGAGCAUGCCUAGUGGGAGCGGGUGGCAUUACUAUGCCUGAAGGCACGUGGCGAUGGUGUCCAUGGAGACAGAUGGCAGCUUCACCGGGGGCCACGGUCUGUCCCUCUUACAGGCUGAAGAUGGCGUGGGGGCCGGGCUCGCACAGCAAGAGGGCUCGUGGCUCGGCUUCCGUGCGACUGUGAGUGCUGUGCUGCUGCUGGAGCUGCUCCUCGGGGUGGGCGGCAAUCUGACCGUGCUGGUGUUAUACUGUGGUCACUGCAGCCUGCUGGAGUCUGUCAGCCAUGCGGUCACUCUCAGCCUGCACACCCUUGACCUGCUGCUCUGUCUCCUCUGCCUACCCAUCACUGCCACGCUCCUCAUACUGGGUGGAGCCUCGGUUCCGCACCACGCCCUCCUCUGCUGUCUCCACGAAUCAGCAGCCAGCUUCGCCAGCGUGGGCACAGCACUCAACCUGCUGCUUAUCAGUUUAGAUCGCUAUGACAUCAGCGUCCGACCAGCCAAUCGCCUGCUGAC
ensembl:processed_transcript